AUAUACAUAUAUAUGUAUAGUUAUUAGUAUUUUUUAACAGCCUGUCCACAAUUAUUAUUAUUUUGGGUUUAGGAUUAUGCUAAAUACAACUUCUAACAGUAGAAAAUCGUAGAAGAUUGGGAGAGUGGAAAAUCUUCUUGCUGCCCACAUGCUUAAGCUGGAGCAUAUCGGCAUUCAGAGUUUUUUGUGAGGACUGUUGUGUGCAGUGUGAGUGCAGAACCUUGUUCUACACCUCGCGAUCCUGCAACUUUACGGCUAUUUGUUCAUGUGAUAUCUCAUAAAAGUUUAGAUUCAAUAUGGGGGUUUGGCUCCUUAUUGAAGAGGCAAGCACCAAGCACUGAUACAUGGAACGAUAUGUCUCACUAUGCUUGACCAGGUUUUUACCUUGGUACAGAUGACUGAACACUGGUGGUGACUGAAAAUAUUGCAUUGUGAAAUUGCAAAUGGAAUGUGAUUUGGGCAUUAGUUGGAUGUGACCUUGAAAAUCAGAGGAUCAGUAGCACAGUUUAAUAUUUUUAAAGGCUCACCAUCUUUUCCUUCUCACAAUGAAAUCAAGAAUUUUCAAGAUGAGGCUCUGCUCUCUCUAAAGUGAAUUGUGACUGACAGAUGCAUUGAAAAAUAGGAACUUGCAGGGAAAAUUGUAUCUACAGCACAUUUUUGAAACAGAUUCAAUGUUGGUGUUCUUUAGUUUGAGAUGAAUGUGGACAGUGUUGUACAUACAUUUGUUUGUAGUAGUCAGCAUAUGAACUAUAUUAUAAUGGACCCAAGUAAUCCUCUUUCAAUGAAUUUGAGAAGUUGAAGGAUAAUUUUCUGCCUGUUGAAUGUCAAUGAUGGCUGUUGGAUACAUUUGAAUAAGAGAGCUUGAGGGAAAUUUUGGACUUAAGUACAUUUUGGAAAGAGAUUCUGUGUCGAUCCAACUUGGUUUGAGAGGAAAGCAUUGUGUUUGUUUCCAAGGAAAGAGGUUUACUUGGAUCCACUAGAAUACAGUUCAAUGUUGACUAGUACAAACAAAAGUCUGUGCAUAACUAUUAGUAGCAAAGAAUUGGGUUUCUUUAGUUCACUCUUAUUUUUAAAUGAGAGAAUGUUGGCAUCCUAUUGUUUUUCCCCAUGUAGUGCACUCCAUAAAUCUUUUCUGUGUCUGCAUUAAAGACGAGUGCUGAUUUUCUUGUAAGUUAUUAGUCCUACAUUGGGAUUAUGCUGGAACUGCCUUUUUGAGAGCAAUUUUACUCUUUUCUAUCCUCACUGCCUAGCUAGGUAGGGAGCAAGAUUGACUUACAAGAAGUAGGUAAUCGCACAAGUACUCCAAGAUCUCAUUAAUAUUGUCAUAUUUACUGGCUCUCCAA